UUUCCGUAGGUGAACCUGCGGAAGGAUCAUUAAAAAUGAAGCCGGGAAACCGGUCCUUCUAACCCUUGAUUAUCUUAAUUUGUUGCUUUGGUGGGCCGCGCAAGCACCGGCUUCGGCUGGAUCGUGCCCGCCAGAGGACACAACUCUGUAUCAAAUGUCGUCUGAGUACUAUAAAAUAGUUAAAACUUUCAACAACGGAUCUCCUGGUUCUG
rnacentral:misc_RNA from 1 species